rnacentral:tRNA from 1 species
GCGAGUGUGGCGGAAUAGGCAGACGCACAGGACUUAAAAUCCUGCGGGCUUCAAAACCCGUACCGGUUCGACUCCGGUCACUCGCA